UGGGGAAUAUUGGACAAUGGGGGAAACCCUGAUCCAGCAAUGCCGCGUGAGUGAAGAAGGCCUUAGGGUUGUAAAGCUCUUUCGCCCGCGAAGAUAAUGACGGUAGCGGGAGAAGAAGCCCCGGCUAACUCCGUGCCAGCAGCCGCGGUAAUACGGAGGGGGCUAGCGUUGUUCGGAAUUACUGGGCGUAAAGCGUACGUAGGCGGAUGCGCAAGUUGGGGGUGAAAUCCCGGGGCUUAACCUCGGAAUUGCCCUCAAAACUGCACGUUUUGAGACCGAGAGAGGUAAGGGGAAUUCCUAGUGUAGAGGUGAAAUUCGUAGAUAUUAGGAAGAACACCAGUGGCGAAGGCGCCUUACUGGCUCGGUACUGACGCUGAGGUACGAAAGCGUGGGGAGCAAACA
rnacentral:rRNA from 1 species